GCCUAAAGGAAAAAUGGUAGAGCAUGAGACUCCUAAUCUCAGGGUUGUGGGUUCAAGGUCCACAUUGGGCA